GUUUACUUAGGGAAGUAAGCGUUAAGUGCUUUUUCUUUCGGAUAAGGAAAAAGACGAACACUUAUGUGGCGGUUUGCUUCCUAGUCCGCAUAU
rnacentral:ncRNA from 1 species